ACUGUGAAGUCACAAGAGGCCCUGAGCUCUGUGGGCCCCAGGUGCCCCGGGAAAACUUGGGGGAGAAUGGGCAUCCCACCCCAGCACUUUCUAGGAAGAAGGGCAGCAUUUUGAAGGGCUGGAAGUAGAGGAAGGAGGUUGCGGGUAGAAGACUCCAUACUUUCUGUGACGCCUAUUCCUUAGUCAGAGGCAUGGCUUGCCUGGGCCUCUGGGUGCAGCUGCACAGAUUCAAGCAGCCUGAAGGAAAGGUGACUGACAGCUAAUGAUCUGAAAAGAACUUGUCUCAACUCAACGUCAUUCCUGGCAUUAUCGAACAAAGCAAUAAACCUCACAGAAUGGAAGCUACAGUGUCCAGGGCCAGCUCUGCUAAGGUAACCAAAGACAGAGAAGGAGGCAAAAGUGACAGAAGAAACUCAUGGGAAACCAACAGAAAUAUAAUGGCUUUGGCAGAAAUGCAAUUAUCAAUUGGGAGCUUGUGAUGAAUGUUUUCUCAGUAUCCUAUGCUGAAAACAGGUAGAUACUAAUAUCGAUCUUCAAGGGAGGGCUGUUGAGUAUUGAAUAAGACAAAAACAUGGAAGCAAUCAGCACCAUGCUGGAAUCAAGGCUAUCUGUAAUCACAGGGCUAUUUGAAAAAGAGAAGAAAAGGUGUCUUGAAAUUCAACCAACAUGUUUCAAUUAUUUGCUCCUAAGAACAACAGAAGUUUCAACAUUCUGCCAACAGAGUAACUCCUGGAAGAUUGGCACAGAAGAAGGCACAAGGAAGUCAGUGAUAAAAAUAUUUAAGCAGCUUUGUCUGCCUUAGACCUUCCAACUAAAAGUACAGCAAGUGGAAUGGAAUGCUAAUAUGAGGAUCCAAAUUUUCAGGGAAGGAGGAGAGCCUUUAUAUAACCAAAGAUAUUUUUGGACCAUGAAUUCAGAAAUUCUCGGAGCCACCCAUCAGUGCCUGAGCUUCAGUGAGUCCAUAUCCCAUGUCACCCACGGCAAAGGAGACUCUAAGACUUCUGAAGAGUUUCUUGCUUCUUUCCUGUGGGGCAGUGACUCCACUUCCCAGCAGUAAUGGAAUAUCCUGAAUUAGCUACAUUAAUGUUAGAACCAUUUGGACCUCACCCAGGACUUCAACUACAUUAUGCUAAAGUUACAGAACCCAAAUUUGGCAACUGUCUGCAUCUGAACAACAGAAGUUUCAACAUUCUGCCAACAGAGUAACUCCUGGACGAUUGGCACAGAAGAAGGCACAAGGCAAAUACCCAUCUCUGUACACCCUGUGCUACUGUGUCAUGUGCUGCUCCAGGCAACUCCAAUGGAUUGGCCACCCUGGCCAAUGUGCCCUCCAAACACCAGCACUGAGUAGAAAGAGGCUCUGAUUCAUGAAAUGUGAAUUUAUGACAGUUGCCACUCUUAAAAAAAAAAACAAACAGACAGAACUUGAGCAAUACAUGACUGAUGCAUUCUCAGCCUGCUUCCUGUGUUCCAUCUGUCUUUCUGCCAGUGCAUUCACCCUCCAGGUUCUAGUAUGUUACGUUUAUGUUCCCCUGCUUUCUACAAUCCUGUUCAAAGAGUUGCUGACUUAACCACAGAGAGGAUUCCAGAACCUGAGACACAGAAUAAACUUGAGCAAUCAUAGUCCAUCCACUUCAUUGUCUCAUCAAAAACCAAAGGUCCAGUGAAGCUCUGGAACUCAACGCUGUAAAGGAGCGAAGGAGCUUCUAUACAGAGCCUGGAUGCCUGUCUCCUUAUCCUACUUCAGUGGACUUGACUGCAAUCCGGAUUAUGCUGUUUUCUAAGCAUUUAAAAUAAAAUAAAAAGUAUAAUAGUGUGAUAAGUUCUUUCACAAAGCAAGCAAUCACAUUUAUGUUUCUACUUACAUUUGGGUUUUCCAAAUAUGUGUGUGUGUGUGUGUGUGUGUGUGUGUGUGUGUAUGUAGACUUUAAACAUGGUGCAUCCAUCAUGUUGCACUAAAUCAAAACCACCAAAUAAUGAUGUAGAACUAAUAAAUCAAAACCAUCAAAUAAUGACAUAGAAAUCCAAUUCUCCCACCUUACACCCAUUAAGAUGGCUACU
rnacentral:lncRNA from 1 species